AAGCCAGGAGGUUUUAGGCACCCUGCUGAAAAGUUCAAAAUAUGUGAAUUCUCAAAUGAAACACACACACACACACAUGCACACCACCACCACCAACAAAAAAACCCACAACCUCUCAGCAUGGCUAUUCUUUAAUAUCAUGUGAUUUUAUAUAAUAUAACUUGGUGGGGGCAGUGGGUGAGGUUUCAGUUCUUGGUUUGGCACUGCUGUGCUCUGUGCUCCUCUUUGUCCAGCAUUAAUCAUGUAUUCAGAUGUAGUAAUAAGCCAGAAAAAAAAAUCACAGCAGCAUUUACAAAGACAAUAGCAUGACAACCUCUCUCCUUAACAGUGUUCUUCUAUCCCAGCACACCUGAAUGGCAGAUGUUAUUAUGGGAAGCUUAUAUAAUGAUCUGCAGUGGAGCAAGGUGGUGAAAGGCCAGCCCUGUGAUGUACAGAGAGAGUAGGCUUGUAACAAAUUGCUUCCUAAAAGAGAUGAAUGGGCGGCUGGUCUAAGAGCAGGGUUUAUCUCAGAAAAACUGUCAUUCUCCUUCUCAAUCAUAGACAAGACAUGCCAGGCUAAAGAGCAGAAAUGAAAGAACUGUUUGUCCAUUGCUUCUCAAAGUGGUUCUCUCUAGUGAAGUUUGUGAUAUGCUGUUGACAGCUGCAGUGAAGUCUUGCCAUGCUAUCAUACCUCAUUUUCUGGAUUCGCGUAGCACAGCAGUUCUGAGUGUGCUUGAGCUGACAGUGUUCUUGAUGACUAAAUUUGUCAUUUGAAAGAAAAGAGUGUACUGUGUCUUUAGAGAUCUCCCUAGGAUUUUGUAUUUCUUCUGCAGAAUGUCAUUUUUGGCCAAGGGCUGAGAUUCUAGGAUAUGCUCAUUAAUGGUGAUAAUUUGCAUUCAGUUCUUGUGGUUACAUUUUUUCCUAUAAUAAGCCAAACCCAAAUACUUUUGGAAAAUUUGGAUCUAAGUCUGCACAUUCCAUUUUUUGCUCCUCUUUAGUUUGCUUUCUUUCUAACCACUGAAGAGUUUGUUUGUUUGUUUUCUUGCUUUAAAAUGCAGAAGCCAUAUAUAAACUUACUGUUUCUAGAUGCCCCUAAAAAGCUGCAAAUGAUACAAACUUAUACAAUAGCAAAUGCCCCAUAAAUGCAACUAGUAGGCAGGCGUCUCUCCUGCAUUACUCCACUAUUAUUUUAGUGCAAGCCUGUUUGUACAGUAGAUUCUAUGCAGUAGAAAACUGAAGUAGUAUGGUGGUGAGUCAGGGCAGUGGUUUGAUUCAUUUGCAAAUAUGAAAUCCUUAGGAAUUAUUGUGCAAGUUCCUCCUGUGUUUAUGAGGGAAAAUAUUUUCCAUGCACCAUUCAAUAUGAUAUCCCUGCACCAAACAAAAGGCUGUUCAUUUCAACAGACACAACCUCUGAAAUACCAAGCCGCUAGACAAAAAGCAAGGGCUGAAUACAAUUAAUGCCAUUUCCUUCUUGAAAAUGUUUUUUCUUAGUCACAUAUAUCUUCUUAAUAUACACAAAAAUAAAUUCCAAAAUUUUGCUGGUGAUGGAGAAUGUUUCAAUUUUACCUGGGUCAUACAAGUAAGAUAACUAUAAAAAGGAACCCAGGAAAGUGCUACUGUUGCUGAAUUUACCUUUUUACAACUUUAUUAGAUGUGUCUACUGAAAGAUUUCUAGCACAUUUCCUUUUCUUGUCUGACUGCCAUUUGCCACCAGCUUUCACCAUUUCUUUACUUUCCUGCUCUCAUUUCUCUGUCUUUUUUUCCCCUUUGGGGUCAUAUCUCUGUGGUUUUAAUUGUAUUUUGCACUUUCCAUUGCAGUAUCUCCUUCUCUUCCGUCAAACCAAAUGCAGACUAUCCUGCUCCCUGCUCUUUCUUGGCCAGACCUCUCUUCUCCUUGUCAUCAGUCUUCGCUUCUCUCCAGCCUUCCACUCUUCACCUCUUAUAUCUGAUCCCCUUUAUACCUGUAUCACAUUCAUCACUGUCAUGUCUAUUGCUAUCCUGAAUUGUUUCUUGAGAGCCAGACUCAUUUCAGCCAUGAUCUGGAACCUUUGAACUCACUGUGACCUGCUCCCUUCAGCUGCUGGCUGUGCUGAACACCUGGACCCACCUGACAGUCUUUCUGCUGCUCGAUUCUUCUCUCACACUCCGCAGUCUGCAAUCAUCAGCUUCUCCUCUUAUAUUUCUACCACCUCCAAUUUUUCCCCCUCCCCUUUCCAUCUUACUCCUUAUCUUCCCUUCUUGUAAGUUCUGUCACUCACUGCCUACCCAAGUCAUUCCUCUUUGAUGUAUAUGUUUGGAAACAAGAACUUUUAUUCUUUUCUUCAUACUAACCUUUGCAUUAAGGAGUUAGCACUAGGAAAUUCUCUGUAAAUGAUCACAAGAAACUGUUCUUCAGAUUCCCACUUAAAUGUUUUUGGCAUAAAACUUGGCAAUGGCUAAGCUGUUGGUAUGCUGAGAUGAUUGUCCUAGACACACUGUUUGGUAUUAGAGAUAUUGGCCUGUAUAUAUCCAUUGUUUGCCUCUAUUUGCUGUUGCAUUAGAGAUUUUCACCAACUCUUCUUCCCACCUUUAGUUUGUUCUGUGUUAUAAUGACUGACGCUGAGGAGAUCUGAUCUUUUUCCUGCAUUUCCAAACUUCAUGGCAAUGGAAAUGAUAAAGAAUAUAAUUUCCAAAUAAGAUAGACAGAUAUACGACAAAUAAAGAAAAUGAAGGAAAAGAAAAGAAUAAACCUUACAUUGCAAAUAUUGAGAAACAUGAUUCCUUUCCAUCUGGGAAAAUGUACCUGAGAGGAAAAAAGUGUAGUUUUCUGGAUACAUGAGGAACCACUUUGAAGAAUGAUACUGUUUUAUGCUUAAGAGCGAUUUAACUCUUCCUGCAGGACUUAUGUGGCUUCUCACAACAAGAAAAAAGAAAAAAGAAAAAAAAAGAAGUGAGAUGAGUUGUAACAGGCUCUUUGUUCAGCUCUCCAGGUGAUAGCCAGCAAUCCAAGAGAACUUCUUCAGCACAGCCAUAGUCUGCCCUUUUUCUGUCCCAGGGACUUCAACAGGCAGGAAGUGCAGAGCAGAUUAGCAGGACAGUUUUGGGUGAAACAGGCAGGACAAGAAGGGGGUGGGAGGAACAGUAUUUUGUCGUCAUAUCAUGCAGCUUUCUCUGCUUUAAUUUAACAUUAAGGCAAGUAACCUGCAGUGUCGAUAUAACCUUAGCAGCAUUCUGAUAAUGUAAAAGGACUCUUUUGUGAUGUAAUUGAACCUCAGAAUCUUUCAUUUUCUAAUUCCCAAAUAACUCUGAUGAACAUACGAAUGAAACUUCAGCUGCCCCAGAUUUAGAUAUAUAAUGGCUGUAUGAGUGUUACAGAGCCUCAGGCAGACUUCCACAACAUUUGCAGCCAGCAGGAGAGACAGAAGAACAGAAACUGAGUUUCUUCUGAGAUAUUUACAUUUUUUUCUCUGUGCUUUGGACUGAAAAAGUAUUUAAUGCUAACAUCUGUCCUUUAUAUACACUUCUGGUAGCCUAAAUUGCAACCACUUCCCCUGCUUUCCUUCUACUAUUUCUGCUUUUAGCCAAAUGCAGAUCUAGAGGUGGGAAUGAAAGGACUUCAGAGUCCCCCAUUUGUUUUAGGAAAGACUGGAGGAAUAUAGGUUCCUGCACCAUCUGACACUGUAAGGUGCUGUGGUGGCUGUGCUCAGUUGUUUGACUCAGGACUAGGCCGACCUCUGGUUCAUAAAUUCUGCAAACAAAUCCCCUUAGCUAUUACCAUUUUGAAGAGAAAAUGUAUAAAUCUUGCUCUAGAUAUUACAUUCAGUAGAAGUAUUUAUAAAUGAAAGUUUCUGAGAGAGAGACAGAGAGACAAAAGAUUAAGUAGAUAUUCGACACAUAAAAAGUUAUAGAUGACAAAAGAAAUGGAGCUGGACUUUUAAUGUCCACCUCUGAGACUACAUUCACAUCAGUGAUGCUAGAACAACCUAGGCCCACAGAGGCACUUUCAAAUCAAUCCCCCAGAAGGGUUUUUUACACAAUUGGGUUUCACCGUAUGUCCUCAUGGUAGUGCUAUUAAAGACCCUGCUGACGGUCAGUAGAAACAUCUCACAGCUGAAAUUGAAUUCAGCUCCUAUAAUAUAAACUAUAAAAAAUUUAGUCAUUUAGCCUAGGGUCCCUUUAGAGUCAGGCAGCGAUGUUCUUCUGGUGAGCGAUUCAUGCCCUGUUAGAAUGUUCCAAGGGUCUUUGUUCCAUCUGGGGUUGUGAUAAGAUGCUACUUUAUCUUCUGUGACUAUAGACUUUAAAUUAUUCCUGAGGUGAAAGAAAUGUCAACAUGAACUCUGAGAAUAGAAAAAAAGACCUUGUGCUGCUCUUCUGCUCCACUUUGCAACUGUGGUGAGUUCUUGACAAACAUUUUGGUAUUAUCAGUGGAGGAUACUGGCAGCAACUCAUUUUGACUAUUAAUCCCCAGCAAAAGAACAGCUCCCAGCCAAAAACAUAACAAACAUUUUAAAAGAAUGCUGAGACUUUGUCCAAGAAGUCUGAGAACUAAGGCAAAUCACAGACUGAUCUUAUCCAACCCUUUUUUUUCUAGAAGUCUAACUAACUAGCCAAAUUAGCUAGUAGCUUUGGUAGCAAUGUCUCAGCAUACUGCAUGCUAAAAUCUAUACACUUGCCCCUCCUGUAUCUUUUCUGUGGUAAUAAAGGACCGACCUUCUCAACCAAUGACUUCCUGAAACUGCGUUCACUCCAUAUGUCAGCCAAAAUGGAGAUCCACAGCUCAUCUGCAUUGAAGUUCAAAUUUGGAGCCCCACACAAUGUGAUAUCUUUCAAUCUAGCUGUUCAUCUGUUAUAAAAAUUCUGGUUUAUUAUUGAAUACAGAUCCAGUUGAAUGCUCAUGUAAUUGGAAUUCUGAUUCACUGUUCCCUUGUGACCAGUCCCAAGUACAAAACACAUGAAACACAUGCUCACAUGCAUGCAUACAUACAGAAUCUGUGCUAACAUCAUCACUAGGGCUGCAAAGUCAAGUGUUCCAGAACCAGCAAAUUUCAGUAUUGCUGUUUUCUGUCUUUUCUUAUUUCAGCAAUCCUGGCAAAGACUUUUGGAUUAAAUCUACAGAUUACACUGGCCCUGGCCUCACUCAGAAACUGAAAUACGUGAUGCUUUCUUGAUGAGCAGAUACAUUACAUUCAAUCUAUCUAGCAGCUUUUGUCCUGCACAAGCCAAUUCUCCUUCCAACGUCAAUAUUAUUUAUUAGCUCACGAGCUUUCCUCUGCAAGUCAUCACCAGGUGAUCUGAAAGCCUCUACAGACACUAGUGAGCCUAUUCUCAUACUGGGAGAGAAAGUGCUAGGAAAGUCAGGAGGAACCUGAACUUUCAUGGUUGGAUGCCCAGUAACAGAUGUCUAGAACAUGUAUUCAAAGCACAUCCAUAGGAUUUGUUUAGUAAAGAUGAUUUACCCAGCAUCACUGAGCCCACUGUAGAAAGAACUGGAGUAACCUCUGUCAUUUUUAGUGAUGAAAGUACUUAUUUGCAACACAUUAGAAGACGAAUUGGAGCUAGGGGUCUUCUGAUUCACCACAUUUUUGGAAAGACACUUUUGGAUAAAAAUGAGUUUGCACCAGGGAACAGGAUAGAGAGCUGGCCUGGAGCAAAAGUCACUUCUCCAUACCAGUUCUGCAGGAUUCUACAUUCCAGAUUCAGCUAAUCCUGCUGGAAUUCCUUGCUGAGCCAAGUUUUGGCUCCUUCAGACCAUCUGUGCGCUGAGAAGACCCUGGCUCCUUGCCUGUCUGCUACAUUGCCUCCCAACGUACUCAUGAACCAUGGAGCAAUUUGCAUUACGUACCAAGUUUCCAAACAGGAGAACAGUUGCUUACGGACUGAAUCAGCUGAGUCAACUCAAGUGGGUCUUACCAGAGAAGAUAGAUGGCCACUUAUUCCUAUUGCCACAUGAAGUGUUUCUAAAAUGUACCUGAAAUUUCUUUUCAAAGGACAGAGCAGAAUUUUUAUUUUCUUCAGAUGGGAUUAAGUUGCAAUUUUAAGUGUUGUGGAAGAAACUGAAAGUCCUGUCUUACGUAAAAAUGCCUUUCAAGGAAAAGUAAAACCUUUGUACAAAUUUCUGAAAUGUCAGAUCUGUCAGAUAGAAGAUACAAUGCAAGCUUUACUUUUGGUCUUACUAGAGAGUCUUUCCCCAUUACAUACCUUCUAAUUAUUUCUACUGUUUCUAUGUUUCUAGUUUCUUUUUAAGCCCAGUGCCAAAAGCACCUUUCCAGUCAUAUUCCAUUAACAGACAGAUUAAAAAUCUUUGUUUCCACUUGGCAAGGCCAUGAACUCCUGCACCUUCAAGAGAUUCCCCUGUACAACUGGUCCUACUCACUUCACUGGGGGUCAUUUUUCAUCUGUAGGAUAGGGAAGUGGGCACAUGCAGUGUAGUAUUUUACCUGAACAGUAGUCUUGCACCAUCCAAUAGGUAAACAGUGCUCAGAGUAAGUGAGAGAAUCUGCCUCUUUUAGUACAGCUACAAGAACCUGAAGCGAGAUAUUUAUAUUUCUUCUCAUUCUGUGUGUAUGGCUACAAAGUAUAGUGAUCAGGCCCUUGUCUUAUCUGAAGAUUAUAAAGAAUAAUAAUAUUGCAUAAUGAUGUCAAAACAUUGUUGUCCUUGACUCCUGCCACUAGAGCAUUUAAAAAUGAAAAAAAAACAAUUUUGCAGUUAAAAGAUAGGAUCUAGAAGGUCAUGCUAUACCUUCAAGGUUAACUUUGCCAGGAACUAAAUCAGGAAUCUCAGUGGAGAAUAAGGAAAGCUGUUUGAUAAAAGGCUCUGUAUGUUAGGUCACUGCUCCACUUCCACUUGUAACUCUAAGGGAAAUGAAUUGAUCCCCCGGCAAGGACGUGUGCCUAUUACUAACACGGGUACUUGUAUGUUUCUUCUUUCUCCGCUUUCAGAGUCAAAAGAUGAGAGGUCGAGAGAGGUCACAGUAGUUCUUUAUGUGAUGGUGUUUUUUCUUCCAUUUCUCUGGGGGAGAAUAACAAGUAAUUUUAACAAACCCUGAAGUUUCACAGUGUCUUAGAUUGCUUAACAUCUUAAUUGCUUUUGGUGAUGCACAUGAGAGAGGUGCUGAAAUUCAAUCCAAAAUCCCAGAGUGUCAACAGAUACAAGAAUCUGAGAAGGAUGCAGGCUGCAGCUGGGCUCUGCCAGGACCCUAAGCCAAACACCCUGACUUUGGGAGAGUUCAUAAUCAGUCAAGAUCUGCAUCAACAAUGUGCAGCUCACAUCCACUUUUGGUCUGAAAUAGGCCAGGCCACGUGCCAGAGGAUACAUAACUAAUUACCAGGCUGUUCUGAUUAUUCCUUCUUCUGUACUUUUCUCAGUAAAUUUAGAAUAAAUUAUAUCUUUGGCAAAUUACACAAAGAGAUGAUUAUACAUUUAAUCGAAUGUUUACCUCUCAUUUUCUUCUUGUAAUAGUAACUAGUACAGAUUACAGGAACUCAGAAUAAUUUUUCUAUAUAGCUACAUUUUCCCAGGGUUAGAUUCAGUGUGGAAAAAAAAACAAACACCGAAACAAAACAGUAAGGCUUCUGGUUGAGGAAAUAUUUAUACCAUAUUCAGCUUAUUUUCUUCCUUUAAUACAAAAAUGAAUAGUACCAAGGGAUAGUGUCUUGGCUAUUUGCAAUCCAUUGAAAAAUGCAUAUUAGAGGGGGAAAAUACAUAAUUUAUUAAAUGUAUUGCUUAAGGUGAGAAACUUGAAAUUGAGUUUUGUAAGUCUGGGGAUUUGGGGUUGUAUGCUUGGCGUAGGCUACUCAAUCUGCUGAAUUAUUCAGUACUAAGCCAGCCAGUGGGAAUAACAAGAAAACAGACAUAGAGUUUGAAAUGUAUUUUCAUUUGAUUGGGGAAAAAAAAGGUUAAAAAUUAAAUAGAAACACUCAGAAAAUCUUUAUUCCCUCCUCAUUAAAGAAUAGUUGAUGAAUGACUGCAGCUCUUCCUAUGAAAGGCGUACUUCUAUGCAUUCGCUCUUAGUGGUACUUAAACAAGAAUGUUAUUAGAGACUGUGCUAUCUAUUAAAUGGCCACAAGUAUUUUACAUAUUUCCCACUUACUUCCUAUUGUCAUCGUUUUAUUUCCAAAUAACCAAAAAGUACUUAUGUGCAAUACAAGAAAAGAUCUGAAGGUGUUCAAAAUGCUGAUUUCUCUCAAAUGUUUGAGGAAAUCAGCUAAAAAGGAAAACUCAUCUUUUAGGAUUGCUCUUUCCCUACAAAAUCAAUUUGUUAUGUUAGAAAAAUACUUUGAUUUCCUUAAGAUUUUUCAAGAGCUGUGCAAAUAGUAGCAAUUUUCUUACUCAAAUUUUAGUGUAGUCAGAAGAAAAUCUGCAUUAAUAGAAGCUAAAUCUGUUUUGUUUUGUUUGUUUGUUAUUCAAGCAUCAGGUUACCUAUUGUCUGGAAGAUUCCUUAUGUCUAUACAUAUUUUUGGCAACAAAAAUACAUUGUAUUGUGUAAUAUGUGUAAUAUGUGUAAUAUGUGUAAUAUGUGUAUACAUUUUUCUGGCAACAAAUCUCUUCAGCCACCGGAAAAUAAAAAUUGUUUCAGGAACUGAAAUAAAAGU